UUCUUCACUGCACUGAGGCAUCCCGAGAGCUUCUGCUGCUGAAGAUGAUACAGUCAGACAGGUUCCUCACAGCUGGAUCCUGUUCAGGUCGAUAUGGUCUGCUCUGAAUGACCCAAACAGAAUUGACUUUUCACUAAAAAAUAAAUCACAGAGCUGGUGUAUGGCCACAAGAACUUUGUUGCAGACUGGAUUCAAGAAGAUCUUUGGGUCUUCUAGCAACAAUUCUUCUGCUUCUGUCCUUGAAGGAUUUUCAAAACUGCAGCUACAUGAUUACCAUGGUCAGUGUUUUUUUCAGUGUGGUUUGUGAAUAAGAGAAAUUACAUGAUAAAGAUCUAAACUAAAAUUCAACCUCCAUAUAAAUGGAAAACAAUUAUAUCUUCCUCCCUCACAUAUUCUUGAA